UAAUUACAAUUCUCUAAAUAACAUUUUAAACUUCAAAACCCAUUCGAUUUUGAUCACAAAAAUUGGUUAUUUUGUUUAAAAUUAGUCAAAUGGAUGAAAUUAUAUGAAAAUUAGGGUUCUUCAUGAAUCAGUCAUGAUUUCUUCAUAAAUUGAUGAACAAAAUUUUGUUAAGAACAAAAAUAACUUACACAAUGACCUUUAACAACAUCAUGAGCUUAAAAAAUCCUCAAACAUCACACAAUAUGAUGCCCAAUUUCAACAGAAGUCAUUACUUUGGCGGAUCGUAUCGAGCAAAAUAAUUAUUGAAUCAGAAAAAAUACAACUAUAAUAUUCUCAAUAACACUUUGAACUUUAAAAACCUUCUGAUUUUGAUCCAAAAAACUUUCUAAAUUGCUUCUAAUUCAUCAAAUGGCAAAAAUUUUUAGAACUCGGACUUUUUUUCAAAACCGUGAAUUCGAUCCAUUGUUUUAUAACAUUUUGAUGCAUUAUUGUGAGCAAUAAUACUCUGCUAAGCCUGCUAUGGUUCAAUAAUACAACAAAAAGUGAAUCACAUGAUUUUUUUACUGUUCAUGCAAGGAAUCGAUGAGCCUUGCCUCCAAAAGCCAGAGAAUCGGUAAUUUUUUCAUCAGACUUAGACGAAUCUCGUUUUUAUGCCUAAUCUGGAACAUCCUUGAGCAUCCUAUUCCCGAUUGAAUCGCCAAUAUUUUGAACCUUGGUUUUUGGAACUAAGAGAGAGAGAGAGAGACGGGUGCCUUUUUUUUUUAAAAUUACUUAUUUGUAACCGAGUGCUCGUCUAAAAUAUUUGGGCCACUUACUCUUAUUUAUAUUUGGGAUUUUAUACUGCCAGUGUAAAAUCAUUUAUCUGUGAUAUGAACAUGUCACAAUCACUUUUAGCCCAUGAAAUAUAAAAUCAAAGUGGGAUUGUUCACUGUAAAAUCAGUUACCUAUUUACCUGUGGUGCAAUACAGUAAAAUCGCUCUUAGCCGAUCAACUAUAAAAUAUAGGUCGCUAGGACUGUGAGUGGAAAAAAAAAUUGGGUAAGUUUCAGCAGGGAUGACAGCCCCUAACUAUAUUCUCAAAUAAUUUAGGAGCCAGUUUUUUUAGUGUUAAUGGGGUGGUAUUAAUGGGAAUGGAAAUCACAACAUAGUGACUAGGGUGUGGGGGUAUUACCACUACAACUUCAGCCCCUUUCUCAAAAUUUGAAAAAAAAAUAAUUGAAAGACAGAAUCGCAAGAAUCUAAUUGGCAUUUUUAAUUUUUAAUUUUUUCUUUUACUCUUAUCACUUAAUUUAUAUAUAAAUGCUAUGUGUGAUUGUCACUUUUGUGUGAAAGCCAAAUACAAACAUUGUUAUAUGCUUGUGAGAGAGAUGAGGUUCAAGGUUAACGGAUUGUGGAGCUAUGGAGGUAACUCGCACUCUGGUUAUGGAGGUAGAGUAUGGAGCUACUCUAUUAUUCAUGUUGGUGUGGCAAGUAGCUACUAAGAGAAGGGUGAGGAGGCAGUGGAGACUGGUAAAGCAAACAAGCCAAAGUUUAUUUCCAUUGAUCUUCAGGCCUCAGUUCAUUGGGCUUCCAAGUUAUAGUUCACCAUUGUGGGAUCCUUUUGCCCCCCCCCUCCAUUUCAAAUGAGAGUCUCUUUGAAGAUUGGGACAUGAGGGCUUCAAGCAAGGUCGUGAGUUGGUCUAUUCCUAGAAAUAGACUCCUUGUACAAUUUGGCUCUUAAGAGGAUGUGGGCAGAGUCACGAGGCAACACUUCUGGAGGAUGAAUGCUUCUCUUCUGUCUCUAGAAUGGUGGAACUCUAAGGUGAACCUUCCACUUAUUCAGUCCUCUUUUGUUUGGCAUCAAAUCGAGGGCAUACCUAUUCAGACUUGGUCUAAGCCUGUCUUUGAAAGGAUUCUACAAGAGUGCAACAAGCUUAUUGACAUCGACUGGUUCAAGACAGUUGGCCCAUCCUUGGGUGUUUUGAGAGCCAAAGUUUUUCACACCCCAGAGUUUGUGAUCUAUGAAUGCUUAGUGCUCAAGUUCAACAACAAGGUCUUCAAGAUCACCAUCAACACAGAAACCUCCCCUUCUCCUCCUCAAGAGUUUCUUCAUAGCUCAUCUUCGUUGGUGGUUCCCUCCAAGGACAAAGCGGUUUUUUCCAACAAAGGAAAGGAACCAGUGUGAGAGGAGGAAGAUUGGCAUACUGUUAUUAAAAAACGAAAGAGGUAAUUACUAUUUCAAAAGUUCAAACGAGGUAAAAAGGUGGUAAAAAAGGUUUGGCGGAUGAAAGCUCCUUAUGACAUGUGUUCAUCCUGGGGACUCAACGUUGGCUCAACCCGUACUAGGCCAGCAUCACCCAUUUGCGUGCAUGACAAACCGCCUUUUAUCAAGGUCUCUAAUGCUUUCACGCCCCUUGGGCAAUGGGAACAUGGAGAAACGUCCAAACCCAGCCAUCCAAUAGUCAAUCUAACGACUACGUCGAAUCAGAUUCUCAUGGGUACUGCACCAGGCAGCGCUUCGAGAUCUUCUGCUUCAUGCCUGGAAGAUUUUUCUACGGGUAUCUUGGGAAGCUACGAGCCAUCAUGCAACGUGGAGCACACCUUGCCUUUGAAGCUUAAUCCGACGGUGAUGCUACCUUCGCCGCCACCCGAGAAGCCACUCUCGCCUUCCGAGGACACUCCGCCUAAAGCUCUCAUUCUGGUGUUUCCUGAGGGGGCUGCCAAAAUGACCUUCUCUAAGUGGGUCUGAAGUCGUGCUUAGGGCCAUAUCGUUGUGUCAAUGCCGUUUAUGGAGGCAAAAGCCUCCGACCUUCCAAAAACUCUUUUUAUGGCUACCUCCCCAUUCAUCCAUCCCCUCCUCGUCAUUGAGUCCUCUGAUUUUUCUUCGGAUGAACUUUCUUCUCGUUUGUGCAAUUGGCUUCCAAGCAAAAGAGAGAAGAGGAAGGUCAUUCAAGAGAAAGCAAAACACUUGAUCGAGGCCAUGGGAAGGCACCUUAAAGGUGGUGGAGGAGGCUUUGGACGCUGAAGAGGUAGAAUGGCCGGCCCUUCUUAUGCCACAGUGGGUAUCCUCUCAACUGGAGAAAGAGGCUGAAGUUUUGGGAGCCAAGCUACCUUUUGACCCCUUUGUUGUGGGCUCCCUUGGAGUCACCAGGGGGGAAGGACUUCUGGUCCUCAUGACAAUCAUUUCUUGGAAUGGGGGAAUUUUUAGGAGAAGAGCUCUAAAGCCGUUGGUUCAUGUCCAUAGACCACAAAUUUUACUUCUCUAGGAAACCAAGCUUCAAUCUCAUGAUGUCUCUUUUUGUCGCUCUUUUGGGGGUGCUACCCCUUUGGAUUUUUUUUUCUUCAUCUCUGUUGACCGAUAUGGUGGCCUGCUUGUUGUUUGGGAACCCUCUAAGGUUAAGGGUUCACUUUUUUCUUCAUCUUUUAGGUGCCUUUCACUCACUUUUUCUUUUGUUGGGUCCUCAGACCAAUGGAUGAUUAGCAAUGUAUAUGGUCUCAAUCUUAGUAAUGAAAAAUGUGCUUUUUUUUCA